rnacentral:rRNA from 1 species
CUGGACAGAAAGACAGGUGGUGCAUGGUUGUCGUCAGCUCGUGUCGUGAGAUGUUGGGUUAAGUCCCGCAACGAGCGCAACCCCUACGGUUAGUUGCUAACGGGUAAGGCCGAGCACUUUAGCCGAACUGCCGUUGACAAACGGAGGAAGGCGGGGAUGACGUCAAAUCAUCAUGCCCUUUAUGUCCUGGGCUACACACGUGCUACAAUGGCCUGUACAAAGGGCAGCAAAGGGGCGACCCGGAGCAAAUCCCAAAAAACAGGUCUCAGUUCGGAUUGCAGGCUGCAACUCGCCUGCAUGAAGGCGGAAUCGCUAGUAAUCGCAGGUCAGCAUACUGCGGUGAAUACGUUCCCGGGCCUU